rnacentral:rRNA from 1 species
AUACGGAGGAUGCGAGCGUUAUCCGGAUUUAUUGGGUUUAAAGGGAGCGUAGGUGGGAUAUUAAGUCAGCUGUGAAAGUUUGGGGCUCAACCUUAAAAUUGCAGUUGAUACUGGUUUCCUUGAGUACGGUACAGGUGGGCGGAAUUCGUGGUGUAGCGGUGAAAUGCUUAGAUAUCACGAAGAACUCCGAUCGCGAAGGCAGCUCACCGGGCCGGAACUGACACUGAUGCUCGAAAGUGCGGGUAUCAAACAGGAUUAGAUACCCUGGUAGUCCGCACAGUAAACGAUGAAUACUCGCUGUUUGCGAUACACAGUAAGCGGCUUAGCGAAAGCGUUAAGUAAUCCACCUGGGGAGUACGUUCGCAAGAAUGAAACUCAAAUGAAUUGGCGGGG